AUCGCUUCUCGGCCUUUUGGCUAAUAAUAAUAAAUUUGGAUAAAUCAAAGUGUAGUAUCUGUUCUUUUCAGCUUAAUAUCUGAAAGUUCCCCCACCGGGGGACCAGUAUAUUAAACUGAUUUUUGAUCCGCUGGGAUGUUCGGGGCUCGCUCCACUCCCGGCACGGGUCGGCCCACAUAUA